rnacentral:rRNA from 1 species
CAAUAGCGUAUAUUAAAGUUGUUGCAGUUAAAAAGCUCGUAGUUGGAUUUCUGGGAGGGUGCCAAUGUCCGUCAACGUGCGUGUGCAGCGGCGCCCUUCCAUCCUUCUGUUAACGCCUCUGGGCAUUUACUUACCGGUGGCGGGCUCAGAUAUUUUACCUUGAGAAAAUUAGAGUGUUUCAGGCAGGCUAGGCCGGAAUACAUUAGCAUGGAAUAAUAGAAUAGGACUAUGGUCUCUUUGUUGGUUUGAGGGACUAUGGUAAUGAUUAAUAGGGAUAGUUGGGGGCAUUAGUAUUUAAUUGUCAGAGGUGGAAUUCUCAGAUUUGUUAAAGACUAACUUAUGCGAAAGCAUUUGCCAAGGAUGUUUUCAUUAA